GAUGUUUGUGAACUGAGCAUGCAGAAGGGAGAGGAAAGACGGAAGCCAAAUCCAUGGAGUCAAGCACUGUCAUCAGGACUGCAGCCAGGAGCUGAGGAAAGACACUGGU
rnacentral:lncRNA from 1 species